AUGCUGGGUUAUAUCACCCUACUUCUCACCAUCCUGCUCCCAGCAGUACAGACAGCGCUCACCAUGGACCAGCCGGUGGUCUCCAUCACCAAACAGACGGGGAAAACAGCAUCACUUCCCUGUGAGUUUUCUGGCCAAAGCAUCACCUACAUCCACUGGUAUCGCCAGCAGCCUGGGAAGGCUCCCCAGCGCCUGCUUUACUGUAAGAUGGCCACAUCUCAACCCACUCUGGAUUCAGGAUUCAGCUCAGGCAAAUUCUCUACUUACAAGGCCAAAGAUCAAAGCUGCACUCUGAGUGUAAGGAAACUAGAAGUGAAUGAUGCGGGCACCUAUUACUGUGCCAGCUGGGACUCCACACUCUCCCCCAUGGCCAACAAGCAUUUAGUGACCAUAUGA